rnacentral:rRNA from 1 species
UUCCUACGGGAGGCAGCAGUGGGGAAUAUUGCACAAUGGGCGCAAGCCUGAUGCAGCCAUGCCGCGUGUGUGAAGAAGGCCUUCGGGUUGUAAAGCACUUUCAGCGAGGAGGAAAAGGUAGUGGUUAAUACCCGCUACCCGUGACGUUACUCGCAGAAGAAGCACCGGCUAACUUCGUGCCAGCAGCCGCGGUAAUAAUU